UCGAACUGAAGGAAUUCCCGCCCUAGCGCAAGGACACAUUCUCCUCCAAGCACGCAGUGGAGCUGCUGCGCGCGCAGAAGGAAUAACUCGACCUUCAGUUUCACGGUCAAUCUUCAAUCUGAGGCGAAAAUAAGCAGAUAAGUUCAGUGAGUGCUAAAACCAUGGUCAACAUGAAAGGUCAUAGUUAACGACCACAUCACCAUCUUCUGCAACGCUCUGAUGUUUGCUUCAUACAACUGCUUGAACAUUUCAUACCCAGGAAACCAAGGAGAAACGCAAGAGAUUGUGCAAAGAUUCCUUUUUAAGAUGAACCCCGAGAAGGGAUCGAAAGUGGAGAAGACCACAUCGAGAAAGAAAUCAGCAGUCAGUCCAAAGGUUCUUUCACUGAUUAACAAGAUUGCGGACUUUGAAAGGAUGGAGUAAAACUUGGAGUGUCAGAUCUUCCUACAUUGCCUAGCAGAAAUUCUUGACAGUGUCAAAGACUUAAAAUACUUGCUGAUUAUUUGCUUUCAUGGUUGAUUUUUUUUUUUUUUAAUGCAUCAUCUGUUGUCAAGAUGAAUUAAUCUGUUCACAGGUGGUUCAGUUUUAAGGACAAAU